rnacentral:rRNA from 1 species
CCUACGGGAGGCAGCAGUGGGGAAUUUUGGACAAUGGGCGCAAGCCUGAUCCAGCAAUGCCGCGUGAGUGAAGAAGGCCUUCGGGUUGUAAAGCUCUUUUGUCAGGGAAGAAACGGUGGGGGCUAAUAUCUCCUACUAAUGACGGUACCUGAAGAAUAAGCACCGGCUAACUACGUGCCAGCAGCCGCGGUAAUACGUAGGGUGCAAGCGUUAAUCGGAAUUACUGGGCGUAAAGCGUGCGCAGGCGGUUUUGUAAGUCUGUCGUGAAAGCCCCGGGCUCAACCUGGGAAUUGCGAUGGAGACUGCAAGGCUUGAAUCUGGCAGAGGGGGGUAGAAUUCCACGUGUAGCAGUGAAAUGCGUAGAGAUGUGGAGGAACACCGAUGGCGAAGGCAGCCCCCUGGGUCAAGAUUGACGCUCAUGCACGAAAGCGUGGGGAGCAAACAGGAUUAGAUACCCUGGUAGUCCACGCCCUAAACGAUGUCUACUAGUUGUCGGGUUUUAAUUAACUUGGUAACGCAGCUAACGCGUGAAGUAGACCGCCUGGGGAUACGGUCGCAAGAUUAAAACNCAAAGGAUUGACCGGNUGAGACGNGCGAGACGACGACGAGGGAGGAGG